rnacentral:rRNA from 1 species
UCCUACGGGAGGCAGCAGUGGGGAAUAUUGCACAAUGGGCGAAAGCCUGAUGCAGCAACGCCGCGUGAGUGAUGACGGCCUUCGGGUUGUAAAACUCUGUCUUUUGGGACGAUAAUGACGGUACCAAAGGAGGAAGCCACGGCUAACUACGUGCCAGCAGCCGCGGUAAUACGUAGGUGGCAAGCGUUGUCCGGAUUUACUGGGCGUAAAGGAUGCGUAGGUGGAUAUUUAAGUGGGAUGUGAAAUACCCGAGCUCAACUUGGGUGCUGCAUUCCAAACUGGAUAUCUAGAGUGCAGGAGAGGUAAGUGGAAUUCCUAGUGUAGCGGUGAAAUGCGUAGAGAUUAGGAAGAACACCAGUGGCGAAGGCGACUUACUGGACUGUAACUGACACUGAGGCAUGAAAGCGUGGGGGGCAAACAGGAUUAGAUACCCUGGUAGUCCACGCCGUAAACGAUGGGUACUAGGUGUAGGGGGGUCCAACCCUCUGUGCCGCCGUUAACACAAUAAGUACCCCGCCUGGGGAGUACGGUCGCAAGAUUAAAACUCAAAGGAAUUGACGGGG